rfam:Stagonospora sp. SRC1lsM3a unplaced genomic scaffold IQ06scaffold_9, whole genome shotgun sequence.
UCCUCCGUGGCGCAAUUGGCUAGCGCGUCUGACUGUUAUGCACACCAUGGCGAAAUCAGGAGGUUGGAAGUUCGAGCCUUCCCGGGGGAG